rnacentral:snoRNA from 1 species
ACGUUACUGGUAUAGAAAGAGCAAGCAUAGCAAUCCCGCCCCAUGUACACCCCCACCCAGGCCCUUUGCCUGGUCUACAUUGUGAAUGGGGGACAUGG